CAGCAGCCGCGGUAAAACGAAGGGUGCAAGCGUUACUCGGAAUUACUGGGCGUAAAGCGUGCGUAGGCGGUUUGUUAAGUCUGUUGUGAAAUCCCCGGGCUCAACCUGGGAAUGGCAAUGGAUACUGGCAAGCUAGAGUGUGUCAGAGGAUGGUGGAAUUCCCGGUGUAGCGGUGAAAUGCGUAGAGAUCGGGAGGAACAUCAGUGGCGAAGGCGGCCAUCUGGGACAACACUGACGCUGAGGCACGAAAGCGUGGGGAGCAAACAGGAUUAGAUACCCCAGUAGUCCCUGUCUCUUAUAC
rnacentral:rRNA from 1 species